rnacentral:rRNA from 1 species
UGGAUGCCCUGGCAGUCAGAGGCGAUGAAGGACGUGCUAAUCUGCGAAAAGCGUCGGUAAGGUGAUAUGAACCGUUAUAGCCGGCGAUGUCCGAAUGGGGAAACCCAGUGCAAUUCGUUGCACUAUCGUUAACUGAAUACAUAGGUUAACGAGGCGAACCGGGGGAACUGAAACAUCUAAGUACCCCGAGGAAAAGAAAUCAACCGAGAUUCCCCCAGUAGCGGCGAGCGAACGGGGAGCAGCCCAGAGUCUGAAUCAGCUUGUGUGUUAGUGGAACGGUCUGGAAAGUCCGACGGUACAGGGUGAUAGUCCCGUACACCAAAAUGCACAGGCUGUGAACUCGAAGAGUAGGGCGGGACACGUGGUAUCCUGUCUGAAUAUGGGGGGACCAUCCUCCAAGGCUAAAUACU